GUUAACUUAGUUAUACAAUGUACAUCAAAACAUUUAUAAUACAAUAUUGCAAUGUAAGUUUAAUAUUUUUUACUAAUUUUUGCCUAGUAAAUUAAUAUAUAUAUAUUUUUUUUCAUUUAUUAGGAUUAUGAAUACAAAUUCCAUUAUAAUUUAUUGCCAGAUUCUACAGUAUUUAAUGAAGAAUUCCCCACAUGGAAAUUAAAAUGUUUAAAAGAUGACAUUGAAAAAAAACCUUCGAUUGCAGUAGAGUCUUUAUUAAAACGUGAUAAAAAAUUGUUCCCAAAUACAAGAAAACUAUUGGAAAUAUUAGCAACUUUACCCGUGUCUGCGCAACUGCAGAAAGGACAUUUUCUAUUUUACGGCGUCUCAUAACAUAUUUACGCAACACAUCUGACGAAGAUCGGUUAAUUGGGUUAGCUCUUCUAUGAAUUCAAAAUAGAAAUUAACGUUAAUCAUAAUGAAGUGGUGAGAAGGUUUGCUUUAACACCUCGAAGACAAGGAUUCAUUCUAUACGUUUUUUUUUUCAUAUUAUCUAAUAUAUAUUUAAAUAUAUCUAAUAAUAUGACGAUAAAUUAUUCAAAAUGUAUCAUGGAUUAUUAUUAUUAUUUUUUUUUUUUAAUAUUAGUAUUGAAUAAUAUGACAC